AGAGUUUGAUCCUGGCUCAGGACGAACGCUGGCGGCGUGCCUAAUACAUGCAAGUAGAACGCUGACUACUUUAGCUUGCUAGAGUAGAAGGAGUUGCGAACGGGUGAGUAACGCGUAGGUAACCUGCCUACUAGCGGGGGAUAACUAUUGGAAACGAUAGCUAAUACCGCAUAACAGUGUUUAACACAUGUUAGAUGCUUGAAAGAUGCAAAUGCAUCACUAGUAGAUGGACCUGCGUUGUAUUAGCUAGUUGGUGGGGUAACGGCCUACCAAGGCGACGAUACAUAGCCGACCUGAGAGGGUGAUCGGCCACACUGGGACUGAGACACGGCCCAGACUCCUACGGGAGGCAGCAGUAGGGAAUCUUCGGCAAUGGGGGCAACCCUGACCGAGCAACGCCGCGUGAGUGAAGAAGGUUUUCGGAUCGUAAAGCUCUGUUGUAAGAGAAGAACGUGUGUGAGAGUGGAAAGUUCACACAGUGACGGUAACUUACCAGAAAGGGACGGCUAACUACGUGCCAGCAGCCGCGGUAAUACGUAGGUCCCGAGCGUUGUCCGGAUUUAUUGGGCGUAAAGCGAGCGCAGGCGGUUUAAUAAGUCUGAAGUUAAAGGCAGUGGCUUAACCAUUGUUCGCUUUGGAAACUGUUAAACUUGAGUGCAGAAGGGGAGAGUGGAAUUCCAUGUGUAGCGGUGAAAUGCGUAGAUAUAUGGAGGAACACCGGUGGCGAAAGCGGCUCUCUGGUCUGUAACUGACGCUGAGGCUCGAAAGCGUGGGGAGCAAACAGGAUUAGAUACCCUGGUAGUCCACGCCGUAAACGAUGAGUGCUAGGUGUUAGGCCCUUUCCGGGGCUUAGUGCCGCAGCUAACGCAUUAAGCACUCCGCCUGGGGA
rnacentral:rRNA from 1 species